rnacentral:rRNA from 1 species
UACAGAGGGGGCAAGCGUUGUUCGGAAUUACUGGGCGUAAAGGGCGCGUAGGCGGCCUGCUAAGUCGAACGUGAAAUCCCUCGGCUUAACCGGGGAACUGCGUCUGAUACUGGAUGGCUUGAGGUUGGGAGAGGGAUGCGGAAUUCCAGGUGUAGCGGUGAAAUGCGUAGAUAUCUGGAGGAACACCGGUGGCGAAGGCGGCAUCCUGGACCAAUUCUGACGCUGAGUGAGCGAAAGCCAGGGGAGCAAACGGG